rnacentral:lncRNA from 1 species
AAGAAGUGAGCUCGAUCUGGAGUCAGACUGCUAGAUAGUUAGAAGUCAAUUUAUCUUUUAUUUAUGGACAUUUGAAAUUAUGUAAUAAAUCAGUACAUUGUAGCUGGAUUUGAUUGAAUUACAUCAAUCUUUGAUUUUGGCAUUUAUGGAAUUAUUGAAAUUGUUGUUUAUCUUAGGCCUUGCAUGAUCUUUAGGGCCUUGCUCUAGGGCUCAUGCGGCCGGUCGCGUGCCGGACCCGGGUGACGGGUUCGGGGCGUGACA